rnacentral:tRNA from 1 species
GCCCGAUUAGCUCAGUUGGUAGAGCAUCAGACUUUUAAUCUGAGGGCCAUGGGUUUGAGUCCCUUAUCGGGCU